rnacentral:tRNA from 1 species
UAAAAAUUAGUUAAAAUUUAAUAACAUUAGUAUGUCAAACUAAAAUUUAUAAUAAUAUAAUUUUUCA